rnacentral:rRNA from 1 species
GACGAACCGUGCGAACGUUGUUCGGAAUCACUGGGCUUAAAGGGUGCGUAGGCGGCUAUCUAAGCAGGGUGUGAAAGCCCCCGGCUCAACCGGGGAAUUGCGUUCUGAACUGGAUGGCUGGAGUGAGAUAGGGGUGUGUGGAACUUCCAGUGGAGCGGUGAAAUGUGUUGAUAUUGGAAGGAACGCCGGUGGCGAAAGCGACACACUGGGUCUCAACUGACGCUGAGGCACGAAAGCCAGGGGAGCGAACGGG